rnacentral:rRNA from 1 species
AACGAACGCUGGCGGCAUGCCUAACACAUGCAAGUCGAACGAAGGCUUCGGCCUUAGUGGCGCACGGGUGCGUAACGCGUGGGAAUCUGCCCUUGGGUUCGGAAUAACGUCGGGAAACUGACGCUAAUACCGGAUGAUGACGUAAGUCCAAAGAUUUAUCGCCCAAGGAUGAGCCCGCGUCGGAUUAGCUAGUUGGUGAGGUAAAAGCUCACCAAGGCGACGAUCCGUAGCUGGUCUGAGAGGAUGAUCAGCCGCACUGGGACUGAGACACGGCCCAGACUCCUACGGGAGGCAGCAGUGGGGAAUAUUGGACAAUGGGCGAAAGCCUGAUCCAGCAAUGCCGCGUGAGUGAUGAAGGCCUUAGGGUUGUAAAGCUCUUUUACCCGGGAUGAUAAUGACCGUACCGGGAGAAUAAGCUCCGGCUAACUCCGUG